rnacentral:rRNA from 1 species
GAGUGGCGGACGGGUGAGUAACACGUAGGUAACCUGCCCCGGAGCGGGGGAUAACAUUUGGAAACAGAUGCUAAUACCGCAUAACAACAAAAGCCACAUGGCUUUUGUUUGAAAGAUGGCUUUGGCUAUCACUCUGGGAUGGACCUGCGGUGCAUUAGCUAGUUGGUAAGGUAACGGCUUACCAAGGCGAUGAUGCAUAGCCGAGUUGAGAGACUGAUCGGCCACAAUGGAACUGAGACACGGUCCAUACUCCUACGGGAGGCAGCAGUAGGGAAUCUUCCACAAUGGGCGCAAGCCUGAUGGAGCAACACCGCGUGAGUGAAGAAGGGUUUCGGCUCGUAAAGCUCUGUUGUUGGAGAAGAACGUGCGUGAGAGUAACUGUUCACGCAGUGACGGUAUCCAACCAGAAAGUCACGGCUAACUACGUGCCAGCAGCCGCGGUAAUACGUAGGUGGCAAGCGUUAUCCGGAUUUAUUGGGCGUAAAGCGAGCGCAGGCGGUUGCUUAGGUCUGAUGUGAAAGCCUUCGGCUUAACCGAAGAAGUGCAUCGGAAACCGGGCGACUUGAGUGCAGAAGAGGACAGUGGAACUCCAUGUGUAGCGGUGGAAUGCGUAGAUAUAUGGAAGAACACCAGUGGCGAAGGCGGCUGUCUGGUCUGCAACUGACGCUGAGGCUCGAAAGCAUGGGUAGCGAACAGGAUUUAGAUACCCUGGUAGUCCAUGCCGUAAACGAUGAGUGCUAGGUGUUGGAGGGUUUCCGCCCUUCAGUGCCGGAGCUAACGCAUUAAGCACUCCGCCUGGGGAGUACGACCGCAAGGUUGAAACUCAAAGGAAUUGACGGGGGCCCGCACAAGCGGUGGAGCAUGUGGUUUAAUUCGAAGCUACGCGAAGAACCUUACCAGGUCUUGACAUCUUGCGCUAACCUUAGAGAUAAGGCGUUCCCUUCGGGGACGCAAUGACAGGUGGUGCAUGGUCGUCGUCAGCUCGUGUCGUGAGAUGUUGGGUUAAGUCCCGCAACGAGCGCAACCCUUGUUACUAGUUGCCAGCAUUAAGUUGGGCACCCUAGUGAGACUGCCGGUGACAAACCGGAGGAAGGUGGGGACGACGUCAGAUCAUCAUGCCCCUUAUGACCUGGGCUACACACGUGCUACAAUGGACGGUACAACGAGUCGCAAGCUCGCGAGAGUAAGCUAAUCUCUUAAAGCCGUUCUCAGUUCGGACUGUAGGCUGCAACUCGCCUACACGAAGUCGGAAUCGCUAGUAAUCGCGGAUCAGCAUGCCGCGGUGAAUACGUUCCCGGGCCUUGUACACACCGCCCGUCACACCAUGGGAGUUUGUAACGCCCAAAGUCGGUGGCCUAACCUUUAUGGAGGGAGGCGCCUAAGGCGGGACAGAUGACUGGGGUGA